ensembl:lincRNA
UUACUGAUACAUAAGUACCUAAAAGAUACAUUUUUUCCUUGUCAGGAGGAAUGGAGAAUGUAAGACUGGAGUCAGGGUGCUCAAUUACAAAUCAAUUGGAGCUACAAUAACCCAGCUAAGAAAUAGUGAGAACCUAAGUGAAGCUGUAUCCAAAGUCAUGUGGGAGUGGUCUCAAAAAUCUUACACAUCACUGAGCUGAAAGCCUAAAUUGGAUGACAAGGUGAACUCCAAAGACUAACUCGGAUGAAAGGCUUCUUGGUUAAGGACUGGGCACAGGUGACUCAUUAAGCUUGUUUGUGGCAUUGGACCUGACCAGCAUUGAGGCAAGCAGAGAUUCCUAGGCUGAGAGAGAAGAUACAAAUUAUGUUGGGAAAAAUGAAGGAUAUCUAUCCACGAUGUAUUUGUCAGCUUUUGCUGAAAUACUACACCAGAAUGAACAACCAAAAUCUUGAUGACUUCAAACAAUCACUACUUAUGUUGUUAUGGACGUGGCAGCUGGACAUUCUUCGUCAUUCUUUCAGGUACCCUUUGUACACUUACUGUAAGCUGGUUCAUCAGCUUAGGGAUGAUUGUUGCUGAACCAAGUCUUAUAGAGUAUCACACCAAGGGCUGUCUGUAUUGAUAGGUUGGAAGGAAUACAGAGGGGGAAUACACAUGGCCUCCAAAGGUCUGCUAUCUACCUGACAUGUUUUCAGUUCUCUUGUAUGCCAAUGGUAAGAGAGCCCAGGAGGAAAGCCCAGAGGAAAGAUGCUUCCUGAUGGGGAAAUCCAGAAAUGAAAGGAAGAAAAGAACUGAAGUCAUUUAAUAAGCAUUCCGCCGCUCACAUCUUAAGGCUUAUUUGAAUUCCCUGUUGGUUACUCCCAGAAGGUUCCAGAAUACCAAUGAACCCAAAGAAAGAUGAGUGGUGGCAUGGCACUGGCAUAUCUCUACCCUGUGCUUGAAGAGACAAGAAACUAUUCUCAAACUCUGACUCUAGACAAAAGUUAAAACAAACAUGUUUUAAACUUUGGAAAGUAGUUUCCCAAGAACACAAAUGAAAGACUGUCCAAAUUGUAGUGUGAAGCAUACAGAAGACAGAAAUUGAGGGCAAAAUAAUGGACACAUUUGUAGGAAAAUAAAAUUUAAAGCUAGAGGCAGAAUAUGGAGGCAGAAGGGCAGAAUAGCAGAGAAUAAAACCUAAAAGAGAAUUAGAUGCAUUAGCCCUUAGGCACAAGCAAAUUAAAAUUUUGGCUGAGAGUAAGGCUUGUUAUAGAUUCCCAGCUGCAUCCUGAGACUGAAGGCAUAGCUCUGACACUCUAUGCAACUUCAGCAAAAAGAGCCAUUGCUCCAACAUAGUCUUUGUCUUCUCGUUAUUGCCCUCUCACUCAAUCGCCCAAAGCCUUUAACAUUUCACACAGAAUAUUAAAAAGUUUGGUGGUUAUACAAAUCACUAUGGGAUACAUAAUUUGUGUUAAUUUUUAAUCAUAAAAUGUACUGCAGUAGUUAUCUUAUUUAAUUAGAAUGUGGAUUAUUGGUGUUGUGUUUACAGCAGGGGAGUAGAGCACUUACCUCCAUGGGUGAGGCUUUAGGUUCAUGGCCAGCACUGAAAAACAGAUGGUGCUUUAGAGAUACUGCAGGCUCAUUUAAAAAUUGUUCCUUAUAUUUAUUUGUGUGUGUGAGACACUUGUGUUCCACAGCAUGAAGGUGACGGCACAAGCCUCUAAUCUCAUUAAUUAGGAGAUAGAGGUGGGAGAAUAGGAAGUGCAAGCACAUCAUUGGUGACACAGAGAGUUUAAGACUCCAUGAGACCUUGUCUAAAAUAAUAGUAAACAAAUGGGAUGGGGGAGAGGCCGGAACAGGAGGAGAAAGAGGAGGAGAAGGAGGAAGGAAAAGAAGAAAUAAAAUAUUAUGCAUAGGCAGUGCUGGCAAAAUUGUCAAAACUCAGGAACCAUCACAACAGGAUGAUCACAUGGCCUCUCAGCAUUGCAACUGGAACAUUGUUUGACUGAUUCAACCUUAGGAUGAAUUGCGACUUCACUUAUUAUCUUUGUAGAUUAGGCCCAAAGUUGAGAAUAUGACAAUCAUUCAUAUGGGAUUGUCUAGGAGUAAAAAGUAAUCCUCAAAGAUACAUUUUUCCAUUUUUUAAUUUAAAUUAGAAACAAGGUUCUUUUACAUGUCAAUCCCAGUUCCCUCUUCCUCCCCUCCUUCCCUGCUCCCCACUAACACCCUACCUAUCCCAGACCCUUUCUGCUCCCCAGGGAUGGUGAGGCCUUCCACAGGGGGUCUUCAUAGUCUGAAAUAUCCUUUGGGAUAGGGCCUAGCCCUCCCCCAUGUGUGUAGGCUGAGGGAGUAUCCCUCUAUGUGGAAUGGGCUCCCAAAAUCCAUCCCUAUGCUAGGGAUAAGCACUGAUCUACUACAAGAAGCCCCAUAGAUUUCUGAGGCCUCCUCACUGAUGCCCCUGUUCACAGGGGGCUGGAUCAGUCCUAUGCUGGUUUCCCAGGUAUCAGUCUGGGGACCAUGUGCUCCCACUUGUUCAUGUCAGCUGUUUCUGUGGGUUUCUCCAGCCUGGUCUUGACCACUUUGCACAUCACUCUUCCCUCUCUGCAACUGGAUUCCAGUUCAGUUCUGUGUUUCGCUAUGGGUAUCUGCUUCCGUUUCCAUCAGCUACUGGAUAAAGGUUCUAGGACAGUUUUUAAAAAGUAAUUACUUAAAAAUUUAGCUUCCUCUUCUUCAAGCAUUUUCAAACCAGUUUGAUUAACCCACAGUUUCCCUCAUUUCCUUAUACAUAUACACAUACUUUAUUUCGAGGGUUUUUUUGGUUUAUUUGUUUUGGUUUGUUUCCUUUCAUCUUUUGGGUUCCAGUGACAGAACUCAUUUUUGGCAGCAAACACCUUUCCCCACUGAGCUAUGUAGAUGCCCCACUUCUGCUUGUUAUGUAUUCAUAGUGGUCAAUGAAAUAUUUUUUUCUAACUUUAAACUGGACAGUUGUAAAGGCAGGUGAAUGUUGAAUUAGGAGAAAAGCAUAAAAAGCCAGAAUAAGAUUACUGAACACAAAGUUAUUGGUAAAUGUGUUGAAAAUUAGGAGAGCACAUUUACACAACCUGAUGUCAUCUGCACCUUGACAAGGUAAGAGCAUUACCCUAAGUCUCGGCAGAUGAGGUGGAUAGAGAAGGCAGGGGAGAGCAGGUGGAGCAUUCAAGGGGAGAGUGGCCUCAUUUGAAGCUCAGAUAUCCUCAGAGCACAUGCACAGUGUGCUAAGCUGAGAUUCUUCACUCUGAGCCAAGGGUAGGCUGAAAGCAUGGGGAAUUGUGAGACAUCGUAUCUCCCUUUGACAGUCAGAGGAAACCAAGGGAGACUGAAGUGUGGUUUGGGAGGUUUGCCAGCAUAGGGAUAAUAACAGAUUUUUUUUUAACAAUGCUUGUUUAAUAGCUUUGCUUUGUUGUUGUUGUUGUUUUGUGGCUGUCCUCGAACUCACUUUGUAGACCAGGCUCACCUUGAACUCAAAGAGAUCCACCUGCUUCUGCCUCCCAAGUGCUGGGAUUUAAGGUGUGUGUUCCUACCACUUGGCUUGUUUAACAGCUUUGGAUGCAGAGCAGACAGAAUCAGAAGGGCAAAAAGGCCAUAGAACAAAGGGAUACGUGGUGAGAAUGUAACUAAGAGAUGUUCAUGCAUAUUGUCAGCAAGACUUUCAUACACAAUUUGUAGGAGCGAGCAGAAAGUCAACAGUAGUUCUGUAUUGGAAGACAAGAUAAUGAUGGAGCUCUUAUGUAGGUUGAGAAGAGGGUUUCUGUGGCGGGAAGGUCAUGAGUUAGGUUAUGAUGAUUCUGAGGUAGAGAAAGGUACUCACUUGGAGAUGUCCUCGCCAUGCUAGCAUAUUCUGAGUCAAUGUAAAGUAUAGCAAGCUCCUCAGCACUCUCCCAAUCCAGAGUGCAACCCUAGCCUUGGUUCUAACACUAAUUCUUGUACCAGUAGUUUUCAAAGAUAAUGAGAAGAAAUUAUUGGCAAUUGGUGAAGUGGGGGACCACUCAAACAUACCUUGCUCUUAAGGCAAAAUAUAUUGACAACACUUCCUAAUUGCUUCUAAGCAUCCCACUCACUAAUGGACUGGAUAAUUAUCAUUAACUUUGAUACAGGAAGAAUCUCUCUGUUGUCUCCUCAGAUAUAUUUUGAAGAAUGAUCCUUACUCAGGUAAUCAUUAGUUUUUAGUCAAGACUUUCUUAUUAUUACUUAAAUUAUAUAUAUAUAUAUUAAAUUAUAUAUUAUAUCAUAUGUUAAAUUAAAUUAAUAUAUUAUAUAUAAUAUAUGUAUAUAUAUUCUGGUCAUUGUAUGGGGAAAUACAUGUUUUUUAGUCAGUCUUUCCAUAUAAAUUGUGCUGUAUAAAUUGAAAAUAGGUAAAGAUUUACUUAAUGAAACUCCAGCCAAGCGCAUGCUCAUCCAAAGCUAAGCCUUGAUUAACUGGACUUCAGGUGAAGGAAACUUGGACUGUGCAUUGUUUAUAAGAGUAUGCAGUGACUUUUAUAUAAUAGAACUAAGUUGAAAUGUCACGUUAUCUGUCUUCUUCUUCCAGCUUCUUAAAUCAUGUCGUCACAUUUCUAGAAAUGUUCCUUUAUGAUUCCUUAUUUUUUCUUCCUUUUGAUAAAUAUGCAU